rnacentral:rRNA from 1 species
AGUGAACGCUGGCGGUAGGCCUAACACAUGCAAGUCGAACGGCAGCACAGUAAGAGCUUGCUCUUACGGGUGGCGAGUGGCGGACGGGUGAGGAAUACAUCGGAAUCUACUUUUUCGUGGGGGAUAACGUAGGGAAACUUACGCUAAUACCGCAUACGACCUACGGGUGAAAGCAGGGGAUCUUCGGACCUUGCGCGAUUGAAUGAGCCGAUGUCGGAUUAGCUAGUUGGCGGGGUAAAGGCCCACCAAGGCGACGAUCCGUAGCUGGUCUGAGAGGCUGAUAAGCCACACUGGAACUGAGACACGGUCCAGACUCCUACGGGAGGCAGCAGUGGGGAAUAGUGGACAAUGGGCGCAAGCCUGAUCCAGCCAUACCGCGUGGGUGAAGAAGGCCUUCGGGUUGUAAAGCCCUUUUGUUGGGAAAGAAAAGCAGCAGGUUAAUACCCCGCUGUUCUGACGGUACCCAGAGAAUAAGCACCGGCUAACUUCGCG